rnacentral:rRNA from 1 species
AACAGGAUUAGAUACCCUGGUAGUCCACGCCGCAAACGAUGUCGACUUGGAGGUUGUGCCCUUGAGGCGUGGCUUCCGGAGCUAACGCGUUAAGUCGACCGCCUGGGGAGUACGGCCGCAAGGUUAAAACUCAAAUGAAUUGACGGGGGCCCGCACAAGCGGUGGAGCAUGUGGUUUAAUUCGAUGCAACGCGAAGAACCUUACCUACUCUUGACAUCCAGAGAACUUUCCAGAGAUGGAUUGGUGCCUUCGGGAACUCUGAGACAGGUGCUGCAUGGCUGUCGUCAGCUCGUGUUGUGGAAUGUUGGGUUAAGUCCCGCAACGAGCGCAACCCUUAUCCUUUGUUGCCAGCGGUUAGGCCGGGAACUCAAGGGAGACUGCCAGUGAUAAACUGGAGGAAGGUGGGGAUGACGUCAAGUCAUCAUGGCCCUUACGAGUAGGGCUACACACGUGCUACAAUGGCGCAUACAAAGAGAAGCGACCUCGCGAGAGCAAGCGGACCUCAUAAAGUGCGUCGUAGUCCGGAUUGGAGUCUGCAACUCGACUCCAUGAAGUCGGAAUCGCUAGUAAUCGUGGAUCAGAAUGCCACGGUGAAUACGUUCCCGGGCCUUGUACACACCGCCCGUCACACCAUGGGAGUGGGUUGCAAAAGAAGUAGGUAGCUUAACCUUCGGGAGGGCGCUUACCACUUUGUGAUUCAUGACUGGGGUGAAGUCGUAACAAGGUAACC